rnacentral:miRNA from 1 species
CAACGUUUCAGUCCUACCCAGAGGACUUUCAUCAGGAUCAUAAAAGUUUUUUUAUGAUCCUGAUGAAAGUCCUCUGGGUAGGACUGAAACGUU